AUACUUACCUGGCGGGGGGGAUACCAUGAUCAUGAAGGUGGUUCACCCAGGGCGAGCUCAGCCAUUGCACUCGAUUGUGCUGACCGUGCAGAUUUCCCCCAAAUGUGGGAAUCUCGACUGCAUAAUUUGUGGUAGUGGGGGACUGCGUCCGCUCUCCCCUG